rnacentral:rRNA from 1 species
UACGAGAGGCCCAAACGUUAUUCGGAAUUACUGGGCUUAAAGAGUUCGUAGGCGGCAUGAAAAGUAGGGUGUGAAAGCCCCCGGCUCAACCGAGGAAUUGCGCUCUAAACUGUCGUGCUCGAGGAAUCUAGAGGUGAGCGGAACUGAUGGUGGAGCGGUGAAAUGCGUUGAUAUCAUCAGGAACACCGGAGGCGAAGGCGGCUCACUGGGGAUUUUCUGACGCUGAGGAACGAAAGCCAGGGGAGCGAACGGG